CCUCCUCUGGCCUUCUGUCCAGACCAUCUUCCCUACACAGCCUUCCCCACCCUGCCACCACGUCCAGGCUGUGGAGAUGCAGGCAGGAUAGACCGGCCGGAAGGCCUAAGGAGAGUCAGCGUCAGGCCAACUGUCCGCCCCAGGCAGUCAGCAUCCCCAGUGAGCCGAGCGAGAGCGGUUUGUUCUUACCCUACAUGCAAGGCCUCUCCUGCGAAGACACUACCACCAAAUACCCCCGGGGGGCCCAUUACACCAUCGAGGACUCAGUAUUCACCAUCGUGGGCUUCUGACUCUGCCUCUUCAGGGUGAGGGGCUGGCCACUUUCCGCCCGUGCAGUGGUGACACGCCACGGGCCAGCUUCCCCCCUUUUUUCUGGCAAAGCGUAAGCCGGAGGCAGGGGCAGGUACCAACUCUGCUCCCAACGAGAUGGGAAAUCGCGCUGCUCCACGGCACAGAACCCCUCUCCUUGAGGAACCACAUGAGAAAGUCGGGCCUGGCUUGUUAACUGGGCCAUCUCAUCAGACCCUCCCCAUGGCCCUAGAGGGCAGGCAUUGACCGCCCCAUCUUGCAGAUAAGGAAAUUCAGCCAAAGACAAGCAAAGUGACCGUGCAAGGUCAUUCAGCUAACAAGAAAUGCCAAGGUUCAACGCCAGGCAAGGCUGGAGCUGGCCGCACCUGCCAAGGACCCAAAGCCCAACAGAGGUGUCCAGGGGGAGCGCACUGUCCCCCACAACCUCCAUCAGCGUCCACAAGCAUCCCCAGCCAAACAUGAAAGAAAAAUCGUGGUGUCACUUACUAUGCGGCUCCAGGACAAGUCCUCCAGGAACCGCCCGCCCCCCGCCCCCCAAAACAGACCGCAGCUCCGGAGCCCCCCCAGCUCGCCCCACUAGGGGUCCUCUCGGUUGUCGCAAGGGUUCUGGCAAAGGAGACCUACACGGAAGGAGGAGGCAGGCUACGGAUGAGAAACUGAGGCAGG